rnacentral:lncRNA from 1 species
AAGGAGAAGAAGAAGAGGAGGGAGAAGAAGGGAAGAAAGAAGAAGAAAGAGAAGGAGAAGACUAAGAAGAAGAGGAAAGUCAUCUUCUCUCCCUCUCCCUCAAGCUUGGAGCUUAGGUUAGAGGUAAGCUUCCAACCCUUUAAUGGAAAUUCUAGGGUUUUGGGUUUUUAUGGUUUAGAAUUGGUUCAAAUGGAACCUAUUGGGAAUAAAUAGAUGGUUCGAGCUCAAAAUCGAAGCUCGCACCAUGGAUUUCCCUCUCGUCGCCAUUCUAGGGCACGGAUUGGGAUUUUGGGAAAUUUAGGGUUUUGAUCUAUCUUAAUAGGUCAUAAACCAAAUUGCUAGGUCUCGAAACGCGCCGGCGAAGACGGUUUGCCGAUCCGACGAGCGGGUGCGGAGUUAUCGCCGAAUCGGGUACUCGAGGGCUCGCUUUGCCCCGAGGAGUUUAAGCGGCGUGCAAGAACCGCAACGUCGAGCUUUCUACUAUCGCGGCGUCGCCAAGAGGUGGGUGGUGUCCAUCCCGAAGCAAUCGGACUCCCUUCUAUGUCUUAGUAUACGUCGAUUCUUGCAUCUUGUAUUAUUACAUUAUAGGAUGAGUAUGCAUUGCCUUUCCUUAUGCUUUCCUUGAUGAUAUCGUAGCAUGCAUUGGAUAUUUGAUAUAGUGGAUUGAUAAGGAUUGGGUCGAGAUUGUGAAUCCUAUAGUGCAGAGAAAGUGAUGGGCUCAACGGUCGGUCUAAUGAUGAACAAAGAACGAGUGGCAUCUAGUCGAUAGUAAACAAAUAAACGAGUGGCAUUUGGUUGAUAGUAAGCAAAAGAACAAUGAUAACUAUGAGUCGUAGUGUAUGCGAAACCUAUGGACUAUAUAUUGAUUGUAACCCUAGAGGAUAGGGUAUUCUCGAGACGAGGAUUGGAUCAUGCUCACGGUCUGUUUCUAAAUCUUGUGAUGAAAGCCCCACACAAGUAGUGCGCUCCGGAUGUUGGUCACGUGGGAUUGCCUAUUUUGGGUCCCAAGGGUUUGCCUAUUUAGGCCCCGGCAGACGGUCUCGGUUCGUAGUGCGAGUUGACCCUCCCUACCUUCGAGAUGGCUAGUGACCAGUAGGCUCCUUCAGGGAAGCCACGAGAUUGAGAAAUAAAUAAAUGAGAUUGAUGAACGAGUAAAUAGCUUACCUUUGGACAUGAUAAUGGGUUAGUGGUUUAUCUAUUUCCUUGUACAUGCAUUCAUAUAUUAUGAUUGGGCAUAGUAGCGUAGCUUCAUUUCCGUCAUUUACAGCUUUCCUUAUCUGUCUAUCUAUUGGUAUAUCUACUUGUGCCCGCUUGGACCUAGUGGGGAGAUCGGCGGAGUCGGCGGCCGAACCCACUGGGAACUAAGGAAGUUAGUUCUCACCCCCAUUUUACUACAGGUUCCAGUUCGGGUGCCCCCGGUGAGCGUGAGGAUCGCGGUAAGGGUCCGGCGUUCUAGUCGCAUUAGCUACCUCCGUUUUGUAUUAGCUAUCACCCCUUUUGGUAUUGGAGAGUAGAUG